GCACGCAUCUCUUACCAUUCGUUAAGUCGGCAGCUGCCAAUAAGCUUGUCUUUCUUUUUUGUUACAGAAAAAAAAAGGACUUAUUCCUUCCGGCUAGCUCGAAGGGAAGGCAAGAGCUCUUAGACCAUUUAUGGAACAGAAAGGCCGGCAGGGCAGAUGGCUACUAAAGGCCUAUUUGAGCAUUUUCAUUGACCUAUACUCUGUGUUGGUUUCAGUUCAGUCUACGGUCUCCCCACCAAAAGUCGGAUAUCACUUCUUGGAUAUCACUUCUUACUCCCGAGAAUGGGAAUCAGGAACUUUAUAUGAGUGAAACUGAGAAUCCCCUAAAGGAGGUGUGGAUGUCUUUGGGGAGUGCCGAAGCCAUUCGGAACGGAAGAAGGAGAAAGAAAGGAAGAGGGCAAAGAAUCCAGAGCGAAGGACAAGCGUUAAUAUAAAAAAGAUUUCUGCAAAAGAAAUAGCUUACGUAAGGGCUAAAAUAGUUUCGAGAAAGCUUCCUCUGACGGUGGGGGCCCCCCUUUAUUAUGGAUCGGUCGAGACUUCGUUCCUCUUGCAGUCCCUUUUUGAGUGGUAGUUGUGCUACAGUAAUAUGUUUUCUUUCUCUCCACGUGAAUUGCAGUAGAAGAAGUUGGAGUGCUAUUUUUUACGUUUUUUUGUCUAGUCUUUCUCUCUUCCAGUUCAUGUAUAGGAUUACCAGCCUAUAAAAUAUAUAAAUAUAUGAGUGAGUUUACCUCAUAGCAUAUUAGUAUAAGCUAUACAUAUUGGCAUAUUUCCUUAACUAAGUCUUCUCUGUAAUAGCAUAUUCCCUAGGAAUGAAAGCGUAUUCCACAAUAGAAUCAGUCGAAUCACUUUUGAGAGGCCUUUGCUAGAGGGAGUAGUUCUCUUUCUAUCUUGGAAUAUCGGAGGGAAGGCACUCGAUUGAGAUUGAUUCUUCUUCUUCUGCAGAGUGGAAGUGGACUGAGUCUCCGUCUCGAAUGCUCGAAUGUCCAGCUUCCCACCUUUUUGUAGAGUUGCCUUGGGACUCUACUUUAAUAAUAGGCAACUAGCCUCCACCAAUACCAGUCCGUCUACCUGCUUUCU
rnacentral:lncRNA from 1 species